UAGCGACGUGGUCCCAACACGGCCGAGGAGGCGGGGGUGGGGGGGACCUCAAAGCAGGGGCAGGGUGGGGCUGGGAAACAGCUAGGUCCCCCUGCAACUUGGGUCACACGCUCAGAAGUGUCUGAAGAUGGAGAGCUGAGAUCUCGGCCACUAGGAAGCCCUUUGUGGACGGUCGUCCUGGAAUGGCAGGGUCAGAGCUGAUGGCCUGCUCAUGCCAAGCUUCCUCCCACGGGGCCUUCCGAAGCUUUCCACAGCUUCAACAUCAACGGCACUUUUGUCUGCCCACUUGGGGGAGAGGGAUGGAGGCUCUGUUUUUUGUGUCCUUGGUGGACCCAGCCCAAGUUCGAAGGACCCAUGGACCUGUUCAGUUUCCCCAGAUGGCCCCGCUCCAAGAACAGCUCAGAAGCCAAGGAAACUGAAAUCCCCGCCUCUGUAGCCAAAAUGGACAGGCUGUUUCCUGAUACCCCGUGUGUGUGUGUGUGUGCGUGUGCGCGAGUGUGUGUGCGUGAAGUGAGUCCUGACCUGCAAGUCUGUUUCUGUGAUACUAUGAAACAGCCCAGUGCAUAGUCCACACUGUUUUCCUCCUGCUCUCGUGCAAAUAAAUGAUCCAUCGCUCUGUGGCUGACUCAGUUGUCAAGAAGAAUAAGUGACUGUGAAUAAAAACUUUUGCAAAUGAAUCCAACCAUCAGCUGGACCAGAGCUUUGUUAUGAUGAAAAUAAUCAAUGUUUCAGUAGAUGGAUAGCUUCCUCCGAUGUGAGCCACGUCAUAGUCGUUUGUUCCUUGUAAUGGUUAAAGUACCAAUGUCUGCAAAUAACUCAUUUUUUAUUGUCAUAAAAUACACAUACCAUAAAAUUUACCAAUUUAACCAUUUUUAAGUGUACGGUUCUAUGGCAUUAAGUACAUUCACAUUGUUGUGCAGCCAUCACCACCAUCCAUCUCCAG
rnacentral:lncRNA from 1 species